GAUGAACGCUGGCGGCGUGCCUAAUACAUGCAAGUCGAGCGAAUGGAUUAAGAGCUUGCCCUUAUGAAGUUAGCGGCGGACGGGUGAGUAACACGUGGGUAACCUGCCCAUAAGAAUGGGAUAACUCCGGGAAACCGGGGCUAAUACCGGAUAACAUUUUGAACCGCAUGGUUCGAAAUUGAAAGGCGGCUUCGGAUGUCACUUAUGGAUGGACCCGGGUCGCAUUAGCUAGUUGGUGAGGUAACGGCUCACCAAGGCAACGAUGCGUAGCCGACCUGAGAGGGUGAUCGGCCACACUGGGACUGAGACACGGCCCAGACUCCUACGGGAGGCAGCAGUAGGGAAUCUUCCGCAAUGGACGAAAGUCUGACGGAGCAACGCCGCGUGAGUGAUGAAGGCUUUCGGGUCGUAAAACUCUGUUGUUAGGGAAGAACAAGUGCUAGUUGAAUAAGCUGGCACCUUGACGGUACCUAACCAGAAAGCCACGGUUAACUACGUGCCAGCCGCCGCGGUAA
rnacentral:rRNA from 1 species